AGGCGGGCGCUACCAUGCAGUCGAGCGCACUCUUCGGAGUGAGCGGCGGACGGGUUAGUAACGCGUGGGAACGUGCCCUUCUCUAAGGAAUAGCCACUGGAAACGGUGAGUAAUACCUUAUACGCCCUUCGGGGGAAAGAUUUAUCGGAGAAGGAUCGGCCCGCGUUAGAUUAGAUAGUUGGUGGGGUAAUGGCCUACCAAGUCUACGAUCUAUAGCUGGUUUUAGAGGAUGAUCAGCAACACUGGGACUGAGACACGGCCCAGACUCCUACGGGAGGCAGCAGUGGGGAAUCUUGGACAAUGGGCGCAAGCCUGAUCCAGCCAUGCCGCGUGAGUGAUGAAGGCCUUAGGGUCGUAAAGCUCUUUCGCCAGAGAUGAUAAUGACAGUAUCUGGUAAAGAAACCCCGGCUAACUCCGUGCCAGCAGCCGCGGUAAUACGGAGGGGGUUAGCGUUGUUCGGAAUUACUGGGCGUAAAGCGCACGUAGGCGGAUCAGAAAGUAUAGGGUGAAAUCCCAGGGCUCAACCCUGGAACUGCCUUGUAAACUCCUGGUCUUGAGUUCGAGAGAGGUGAGUGGAAUUCCGAGUGUAGAGGUGAAAUUCGUAGAUAUUCGGAGGAACACCAGUGGCGAAGGCGGCUCACUGGCUCGAUACUGACGCUGAGGUGCGAAAGUGUGGGGAGCAAACAGGAUUAGAUACCCUGGUAG
rnacentral:rRNA from 1 species